GAGAUCUUUGGCAGCACAUAUACUAAAAUUGGAACGAUACAGAGAAGAUUAGCAUGGCCCCUGCACAUUCCUCAAUGUAAUUUAUGAAUUAAGCCAUGAUAUC